GCUCUGGUGGCCUAGUGGUUAGAUUGCUCGCCUCAGAUGCGGGAGGUCGUGGGUUCAAACCCCGGCCAAGUCA